GACGAACGCUGGCGGCGUGCUUAACACAUGCAAGUCGAACGGUAAGGCCCUUUCGGGGGUACACGAGUGGCGAACGGGUGCGUAACACGUGGGUGAUCUGCCCUUCACUUUGGGAUAAGCCUGGGAAACUGGGUCUAAUACCGGAUAGGACUACGCGAUGCAUGUCGUGUGGUGGAAAGCUUUUGCGGUGUGGGAUGGGCCCGCGGCCUAUCAGCUUGUUGGUGGGGUGAUGGCCUACCAAGGCGACGACGGGUAGCCGGCCUGAGAGGGGGUCCGGCCACACUGGGACUGAGGUACGGCCCAGACUCCUACGGGAGGCAGCAGUGGGGAAUAUUGCACAAUGGGCGCAAGCCUGAUGCAGCGACGCCGCGUGGGGGAUGACGGCCUUCGGGUUGUAAACCCCUUUCAGCACAGACGAAGCGUAAGUGACGGUAUGUGCAGAAGAAGCACCGGCCAACUACGUG
rnacentral:rRNA from 1 species